UGGGGAAGUAUUGCACAAUGGGGGGAAACCCGUGAUGCAGCGACGCCGCGUGAAGGAAGAAGUAUCUCGGUAUGUAAACUUCUAUCAGCAGGGAAGAUAGUGACGGUACCUGACUAAGAAGCCCCGGCUAACUACGUGCC
rnacentral:rRNA from 1 species